UGGGGAAUAUUGCACAAUGGGCGAAAGCCUGAUGCAGCAACGCCGCGUGAGUGAAGAAGGUUUUCGGAUUGUAAAGCUCUGUCUUUGGGGACGAUAAUGACGGUACCCAAGGAGGAAGCCACGGCUAACUACGUGCCAGCAGCCGCGGUAAUACGUAGGUGGCGAGCGUUGUCCGGAAUUACUGGGCGUAAAGAGUGCGUAGGCGGAUAUUUAAGUGAGAUGUGAAAUACCCGGGCUUAACCCGGGCACUGCAUUUCAAACUGGAUAUCUAGAGUGCGGGAGAGGAGAAUGGAAUUCCUAGUGUAGCGGUGAAAUGCGUAGAGAUUAGGAAGAACACCAGUGGCGAAGGCGAUUCUCUGGACCGUAACUGACGCUGAGGCACGAAAGCGUGGGUAGCAAACAGGAUUAGAUACCCUGGUAGUCCACGCCGUAAACGAUGAGUACUAGGUGUAGGAGGUAUCGACCCCUUCUGUGCCGCAGUAAACACAAUAAGUACUCCGCCUGGGAAGUACGAUCGCAAGAUUA
rnacentral:rRNA from 1 species